rnacentral:rRNA from 1 species
GAUGAACGCUAGCGGCAGGCUUAAUACAUGCAAGUCGAGGGGCAUCAAGGUACACGAAAGUGUAUUGUUGGCGACCGGCGGACGGGUGAGUAAUAGGUAGGUAAUCUACCUCAUACUGAGGCAUAGCUGGGAGAAAUUCCAGGUAAUUCCUCAUGAGGUUAUAUGACACAUGUGAUAUAAUCAAAGGUAUCGCAAGGUACUGGUAUGAGAUGGGCUUACUGACCAUUAGCUAGUUGGUGAGAUAAGAGCUCACCAAGGCGAAGAUGGUUAGGGGUUUUGAGAGAGAGAUCCCCCACAUUGGAACUGAGAUACGGUCCAGACUCCUACGGGAGGCAGCAGUAGGGAAUAUUGGGCAAUGGGCGGAAGCCUGACCGAGCGACGCCGCGUGAGGGACGAAGGCCUUCGGUUGUAACCUCUGUCUGGGGGACGGAGGUAAGGACGGUACCCCCGGACGGAACGCCCCGGCUAACUACGUGCCAGCAGCCGCGGUAACUG